rnacentral:pre_miRNA from 1 species
GAUGUACUCCCUCCGUUCCAAAAUAGAUGACCCAAAUUUGUACUAACUUUAGUACAAAGUUGGGUCAUCUAUUUUGGAACGGAGGGAGUACAAA